rnacentral:rRNA from 1 species
UACAGAGGUCUCAAGCGUUGUUCGGAUUCAUUGGGCGUAAAGGGGUGCGUAGGCGGCGCGGUAAGUCGGGUGUGAAAUCUCGGAGCUUAACUCCGAAACUGCAUUCGAUACUGCCGUGCUUGAGGACUGGAGAGGAGACUGGAAUUUACGGUGUAGCGGUGAAAUGCGUAGAUAUCGUAAGGAAGACCAGUGGCGAAGGCGGGUCUCUGGACAGUUCCUGACGCUGAGGCACGAAGGCCAGGGGAGCAAACGGG